AUUGAACGCUGGCGGCAUGCUUUACACAUGCAAGUCGAACGGCAGCGCGGGCUUCGGCCUGGCGGCGAGUGGCGAACGGGUGAGUAAUACAUCGGAACGUGCCCAGUAGUGGGGGAUAGCUCGGCGAAAGCCGGAUUAAUACCGCAUACGACCUGAGGUUGAAAGCGGGGGAUCUUCGGACCUCGCGCUAUUUGAGCGGCCGAUGGCAGAUUAGCUAGUUGGUGGGGUAAAGGCCUACCAAGGCGACGAUCUGUAGCUGGUCUGAGAGGACGACCAGCCACACUGGGACUGAGACACGGCCCAGACUCCUACGGGAGGCAGCAGUGGGGAAUUUUGGACAAUGGGCGAAAGCCUGAUCCAGCAAUGCCGCGUGUGUGAUGAAGGCCUUCGGGUUGUAAAGCACUUUUGGCGGGAACGAAAAGGACUGUGCCAAUACCACGGUUCGAUGACGGUACCCGCAGAAUAAGCACCGGCUAACUACGUG
rnacentral:rRNA from 1 species